rnacentral:lncRNA from 1 species
GAGAGACGCUGGACCUGACACAAACUAGUGCCGCCCCCCCCAGCCACCACAGGGGUGGGGCAGAGGCAGGGACCAGAGAAGACCGGCUUCCACGCCUCACCAGUAUAUUCACUCUCACUGGGCCCACCCUGUGCUCCACUGGCAGUCGGUGGGGAUGGCCUCUGAAGGGACUACCAGCAGGAUGUCAAGAGAGCCAGAUUUCUGCGGCCUUUGUUUCACCUGAGAUAAGGUCUACCCGCUCCCUUUUUUUGGCCCUUUGUGAAUGAGAGAACCACGGGAUGGGACGCAGCUCAACACUGAGAUAUGGUUCCCCACCGUGGGAGGAAUCCCGUUCCCAACGUGGAAAAGAGACAGCAAGAACAGGGCGCAGCAGCGGCACUUGGCCUGGAGUCGCCACACUUUCCCCGUCGCCAUGGCAACCCUUGCCGGCUGGAUGGGACAGAAUGCUGAGAAUACGCAGAAGGGAAAUGAUGUAGGACAGCGGCAGCAAGAGGGUUCCUGCCUGACGCACGCACGCACGGCCACCCUGCCACCCUGUCCUGCCCCCAACCCAGCACAGGCACCAGCACUUUCUAAGUGCACAGAGAGUAAUAAGAACAGCAGUCGUUCGGAUGCUAAUAAUGAUGAACACGUACUGAGGGCACUAACUGCCGGACGGAAACAAAUCAAGGCGCCCAGAGACCCCACGUCUGAAGGUCGUGGAGCUGCACUCUCCGUAUUAACUCAAAGGGGAAAAUGAUAUAAAAUAAAUUACACCGAAAUCCAGGAAAGAUUCCA